rnacentral:rRNA from 1 species
AGAGUUUGAUCCUGGCUCAGAUUGAACGCUGGCGGCAUGCCUUACACAUGCAAGUCGAACGGCAGCACGGGAGCAAUCCUGGUGGCGAGUGGCGAACGGGUGAGUAAUACAUCGGAACGUGUCCUGUAGUGGGGGAUAGCCCGGCGAAAGCCGGAUUAAUACCGCAUACGCUCUACGGAGGAAAGGGGGGGAUCUUAGGACCUCCCGCUACAGGGGCGGCCGAUGGCAGAUUAGCUAGUUGGUGGGGUAAAGGCCUACCAAGGCGACGAUCUGUAGCUGGUCUGAGAGGACGACCAGCCACACUGGGACUGAGACACGGCCCAGACUCCUACGGGAGGCAGCAGUGGGGAAUUUUGGACAAUGGGGGAAACCCUGAUCCAGCAAUGCCGCGUGUGUGAAGAAGGCCUUCGGGUUGUAAAGCACUUUUGUCCGGAAAGAAAACCUCUGGGUUAAUACCCCGGGGGGAUGACGGUACCGGAAGAAUAAGCACCGGCUAAC